rnacentral:lncRNA from 1 species
GGCUGGUGCUCUGACCCUGGGGAUUGUAUGCCGGGGUAUUUUUAAAACUGGAGUGGCAUUGGCCUUAUACCCCUUUCGGCAAAGAUGGAGAGAACUCUUCCACCUUCCCCAGAAGUGUCCCAUAGUGAAAGAGCUCUGAGCACACAGCCAGGUACUGUUCUGCUGACCAGCCAGCCUGCUGCCACUCCCAGCCGCCUGCCCUUGCUCCCUCGGCUCCUGGCGCCAUGAUGCGCCUCCCGUCUGCACCCACGCACACCCC